rnacentral:rRNA from 1 species
UACGCAGGCGGAAAAUUAAGUCAGUGGUGAAAUCCUGCAGCUUAACUGUAGAACUGUCAUUGAUACUGGUUUUCUUGAAUAUAGUUGAGGUAGGCGGAAUGUGUAAUGUAGCGGUGAAAUGCUUAGAUAUUACACAGAACACCGAUUGCGAAGGCAGCUUACUAAGCUAUGAUUGACGCUGAGGUACGAAAGCAUGGGGAGCAAACAGGAUUAGAUACCCUGGUAGUC